UGGGAGGCAGCAGUGGGGAAUUUUGGACAAUGGGGGCAACCCUGAUCCAGCGACGCCGCGUGAAGGAUGAAGGUCUUCGGAUUGUAAACUUCUUUUGGAGGGGAUGAACGCCCUGGUGAAUAGCCAGGGGUGACAGUACUCUCGGAAUAAGCCACGGCUAACUACGUGCCAGCAGCCGCGGUAAUACGUAGGUGGCAAGCGAUACUCGGAAUCACUAGGCGUAAAGCGCAGGUAGGCGGUUUGGUAAGUCUCUUGUGAAAGCUCCCGGCUCAACUGGGAGAGGCCAAGGGAAACUACCGGACUAGAGUGUGGUAGGGGAUACUGGAAUUCCUGGUGUAGCGGUGAAAUGCGUAGAUAUCAGGAGGAAUACCUAUGGCGAAAGCAGGUAUCUGGGCCAUCACUGACGCUGAGCUGCGAAAGCUAGGGGAGCAAACAGGAUUAGAUACCCUGGUAGUCCUAGCCCUAAACGAUGCUCAUUAGAUGUGGGAGGUAUCGACCCCUUCCGCGUCGCAGCUAACGCAUUAAAUGAGCCGCCUGGGGAGUACGGCCGCAAGGUUGAAACUCAAAGGAAUUGACGGGGGCCCGCACAAGCGGUGGAACAUGUGGUUUAAUUCGACGCAACGCGAAGAACCUUACCUGGGCUUGAACUACAGAUGGUAAGUCCCUAGAAACAGGGGCUGACCCGCAAGGGAGUCUGCAGAGGUGCUGCAUGGUUGUCGUCAGCUCGUGUCGUGAGAUGUUGGGUUAAGUCCCGCAACGAGCGCAACCCCUAUUCGAUGUUGCUAAUCCCGCAAGGGAUGCACUCUUCGAAAACUGCCUUCGAUAAGAAGGAGGAAGGUGGGGACGACGUCAAUCCUCAUGG
rnacentral:rRNA from 1 species